UAUGCCCUACGGGAGGCAGCAGUGGGGAAUAUUGCACAAUGGGGGAAACCCUGAUGCAGCGACGCCGCGUGAGUGAAGAAGUAUCUCGGUACGUAAAGCUCUAUCAGCAGGGAAGAAAAAAAGUCUUUGGCUUUGGACGGUACCUGACUAAGAAGCCCCGGCUAACUACGUGCCAGCAGCCGCGGUAAUACGUAGGGGGCAAGCGUUAUCCGGAAUCACUGGGUGUAAAGGGAGCUCAG
rnacentral:rRNA from 1 species